CACCGCGGUUAUACGAGAGGCCCAAGUUGACAAACACCGGCGUAAGGCGUGGUUAAGUUAAAACUCCUACUAAAGCCGAACAUCUUCAAGGCUGUUAUACGCAACCGAAGACAGGAAGUUCAACCACGAAAGUGGCUUUAUCUGAUCUGAACCCACGAAAGCUAGGGAA
rnacentral:rRNA from 1 species